rnacentral:rRNA from 1 species
GCAAGUCGAACGGUAACAGGCUGUAUGGAAUCCCUUCGGGGUGAACUUGGCGCUGACGAGUGGCGAACGGGUGAGUAACACGUAGGAAUCUACCCAGAAGUGGGGGACAACCCGGAGAAAUCCGGGCUAAUACCGCAUACGCCCUACGGGGUAAAGCGGGGGACCUUUUCGAAGGCCUCGCGCUUCUGGAUGAGCCUGCGUCGGAUUAGCUUGUUGGUGAGGUAAUGGCUCACCAAGGCAACGAUCCGUAGCUGGUCUGAGAGGACGAUC